GGGGAUUUGGCUCAGUUGGUAGAGUGCUUGCCUUGCAUGCACAAGGCCUGGGUUCAAUCCCCAGCAUUACAA
rnacentral:tRNA from 1 species